rnacentral:rRNA from 1 species
GAUGAACGCUGGCGGCGUGCCUAAUACAUGCAAGUCGAGCGAACGGACGAGAAGCUUGCUUCUCUGAUGUUAGCGGCGGACGGGUGAGUAACACGUGGAUAACCUACCUAUAAGACUGGGAUAACUUCGGGAAACCGGAGCUAAUACCGGAUAAUAUUUUGAACCGCAUGGUUCAAAAGUGAAAGACGGUAUUGCUGUCACUUAUAGAUGGAUCCGCGCUGCAUUAGCUAGUUGGUAAGGUAACGGCUUACCAAGGCAACGAUGCAUAGCCGACCUGAGAGGGUGAUCGGCCACGCUGGAACUGAGACACGGUCCAGACUCCUACGGGAGGCAGCAGUAGGGAAUCUUCCGCAAUGGGCGAAAGCCUGACGGAGCAACGCCGCGUGAGUGAUGAAGGUCUUCGGAUCGUAAAACUCUGUUAUUAGGGAAGAACAUAUGUGUAAGUAACUGUGCACAUCUUGACGGUACCUAAUCAGAAAGCCACGGCUAACUACGUG